rnacentral:misc_RNA from 1 species
UCUUUAUAGCUUUGUUGAUUAAUUUUUGUCGCACCAAUUUGCGUGUGAAAAAUGUAUGGUUUUGAUGGUUUGCUGUGAUCAGGUCCAAAGCUUUUUUUUUUUUUUUUUUGCUCUUUGCAGGUCUUGUGCAACUGAUUCUGCCUGUGAAGUAGCCUCAUGGGUUUUGAAUGAACGUUCUCCUUUUUACUUUUUUUUUUUUU